rnacentral:lncRNA from 1 species
UUGGGGAUGAGGUACCCGCCGACGUCCAUGUCCUCCGCCGCCUUGUGAGGUAGCAACAUGUGCGCCGGUGGGUGCUUCCGGAGGCCUUCGAGCACCACCGCCUUCAGCGCGGCGGACGUGCUGUCCGUGCCGGCUACGAGGAACUCGGAGCAGAGCAUAACCAGCUCGUCGUCGGUGAGCGCGCGGUUGCCGUCCUCCGGGAGGUUGAUGUCGAGCAGGUUGUCGACGUACGAGUGCGUGAACGUGGUCGCCUCCUUCUUCGGCUCGCCGCCGUUUUUCUUGUACUCCCGCCGGGAGUUGAUCAACGGCACGAACAACUCCUCCUUCCGCCGCCGGAGGGCCCUUCUGAAGACGCCCGCGGAAGAGGUGCCUGGUGAUCGCCGGGAAGAAGUUGAAGAUGCCCAUCUCGCUCGACAUGUAGAGCAUCGUGUCGCGCUCCGCCGCGCCGAUCGCGCGCACCGCGUCCUCAUCGAGCUGUUCGCCGAAGCACAUGAGCACCAGGAGGAAGGACAUGGCGUACUGGAACGUCUCCACGACGGAGCGUGGCGCCGCCGCCUCCGCCUCGCC